CUUGGGAAGGAGCCGGGAGAGGAGGGGUCCCGCGCGGAAGGUGGGGCGGGGGCUGCCCGAGCUGGUGGGGCUGUGUCACUCGGAGUGGUGACCGCCACGCGUGACCUCUGACCCGGCUGUUGUGCUGGAAUUUCCUGACCCUUGCGUGGGAGGGACUCACUGGGUGCGGGGCAGGGGGUUGCCAGGUACCGCACUGAUGGUAAAGGAGAUGUGGUGGGCGUGGCACGGGGACUAAUGAAGAAAAGCGUCCCUUCCUCAAGUUUUUACUAGACUCUGCAAGGCGGAGCGUGUGGUCGAGUCCAUCUUAUUUUGUCCCCGCAGGCCCCGUGGUUUUCUACCAGCCAGUCAGACUGAACUACUCUCUGUGUCCUAGGUGAGGGCUGAGGACCUGUAGGGGCCCCCGGGAGGUGCAGCGUGCCUAUGCUGAGAGCCGUCCUUGCAGAAAAGCGCUGUAGCGGGGCUCUGGGUGCUCUGGGCAUGGCUGGUGUUGCGUGUGCUGCUGUGUAUCCUGCUUGGAAGAGCGAGCUGCACGGAUAAAAGGACUCGCCACGCAGCCCAGAGCCAGACACUGCAGCCACAAGCCAGGAAUGCCUGGAUCAGCCAGAAACUGGGAGACCCACAAGAUGAUCUCUCCCAGAGUCUGUGGAGGGAACACGACUUAGCUGACAUCUGGAUUUUGGACUUCUACUCUCGAGAUGCUUCACAGGAAAUUCAGAAGUUCAAGUACGCCAUGAGGAAAUAACAAGGCAAAUCCAGAAUAUGGAACAGUUGGCUUCUACCUCCCAAACACUGAAGUCAAGAAGAAAAACAAAUGUGGGGGAAAUGUACUUAAAAACUGAGCUGGCAAGAAAGGACCAGAGGUGUGCAGUACUACACAAGGCAUGUAGCCGCCCCUGGGUCUCGGUGUUCUAGAACUGAUGUGGGAAACAAAGGCAGAAGAAAAAUUAUUAAAUCUCCUGACUACCUACAGCCC